AGCGAACGCUGGCGGCAGGCCUAACACAUGCAAGUCGAACGAACCUUUCGGGGUUAGUGGCGGACGGGUGAGUAACACGUGGGAACGUGCCUUUAGGUUCGGAAUAACUCAGGGAAACUUGUGCUAAUACCGAAUGUGCCCUUCGGGGGAAAGAUUAAUCGCCUUUAGAGCGGCCCGCGUCUGAUUAGCUAGUUGGUUGAGGUAAUGGCUCACCAAGGCGACGAUCAGUAGCUGGUCUGAGAGGAUGAUAAGCCACAUUGGGACUGAGACACGGCCCAAACUCCUACGGGAGGCAGCAGUGGGGAAUCUUGCGCAAUGGGCGAAAGCCUGACGCAGCCAUGCCGCGUGAAUGAUGAAGGUCUUAGGAUUGUAAAAUUCUUUCAGCGGGGACGAUAAUGACGGUACCCGGAGAAGAAGCCCCGGCUAACUUCGUG
rnacentral:rRNA from 1 species